UACGUAGGGGGCUAGCGUUGUCCGGAAUCAUUGGGCGUAAAGCGCGUGUAGGCGGUCCGGUAAGUCCGCUGUGAAAGUCGAGGGCUCAACCCUCGAAUGCCGGUGGAUACUGUCGGGCUAGAGUGCGGAAGAGGCGAGUGGAAUUCCCGGUGUAGCGGUGAAAUGCGCAGAUAUCGGGAAGAACACCCGUGGCGAAGGCGGCUCUCUGGAACGCAACUGACGCUGAGACGCGAAAGCGUGGGGAGCAAACAGG
rnacentral:rRNA from 1 species